rnacentral:rRNA from 1 species
CUAGCGACUUCAGAGUUUGAUCCUGGCUCAGGACGAACGCUGGCGGCGUGCCUAACACAUGCAAGUCGAACGGAGUUGCCCUUCGGGGUAACUUAGUGGCGAACGGGUGAGUAACGCGUGAGAAACCUGCCUUUCAGUGGGGGACAACAGUUGGAAACGACUGCUAAUACCGCAUAAUGUUAUUUGGGGGCAUCCUUGAAUAACUAAAGAUUUAUUGCUGAAAGAUGGUCUCGCGUCUGAUUAGCUAGUUGGUAGGGUAACGGCCUACCAAGGCGACGAUCAGUAGCCGGUCUGAGAGGAUGAACGGCCACAUUGGGACUGAGAUACGGCCCAG